AAGUCCCGUAACGAGCGCAACCCUUGUCCUUAGUUGCCAUCAGUUCGGCUGGGAACUCUAAGGAGACUGCCGGUGACAAACCGGAGGAAGGUGGGGACGACGUCAAGUCAUCAUGGCCCUUACGACCUGGGCUACACACGUGCUACAAUGGGGGGUACAAAGGGUUGCCAAGCAGCGAUGUGGAGCUAAUCCCAUAAAACCUCUCGUAGUCCGGAUUGGAGUCUGCAACUCGACUCCAUGAAGUCGGAAUCGCUAGUAAUCGUGAAUCAGAAUGUCACGGUGAAUACGUUCCCGGGCCUU
rnacentral:rRNA from 1 species